GAACGGGUGAGUAAUGCAUAGAUGACCUACCCUCAUGACGGGGAUAACCACUCGAAAGGGUGGUUAAUACCGGAUGUGGUCCGUGACCUGCGGGUUGUGGACUAAAGAUGGCCUCUGUUUCAAGCUGUCGCAUGGGGAGGGGUCUAUGUGAUAUUAGCUAGUUGGUGGGGUAAUGGCCUACCAAGGCUGUGAUGUCUAGCCGGCCUGAGAGGGUGUCCGGCCACACUGGGACUGAGACACUGCCCAGACUCCUACGGGAGGCUGCAGUCGAGAAUCUUCCACCAAUGCGCGAAAGCGUGAUGGAGCGACGCCGCGUGGACGAUGAAGGCCUUCGGGUUGUAAAGUCCUGUCGAGAAAUUCUAAUCCCUUAGGGUUAAUACCUCUUGAGGUUGAAGGGUUUCUGGAGGAAGCACCGGCUAAAUUCGUGCCAGCAGCCGCGGUAAGACGAAUGGUGCAAGCGUUGUUCGGAAUCACUGGGCAUAAAGAGCACGUAGGCGGUUGCGUAAGUCAGAUGUGAAAUCCCUCGGCUCAACCGAGGAACUGCAUCUGAAACUGCGUAACUAGAGUACGGGAGGGGAAAACGGAAUUCCUGGUGGAGCGGUGAAAUGCGUAGAUAUCAGGAGGAACGCCGGAGGCGAAAGCGGUUUUCUGGCCCGUUACUGACGCUGAGGUGCGAAAGCUAGGGGAGCAAACAGGAUUAGAUACCCUGGUAGUC
rnacentral:rRNA from 1 species